AUACGGAGGAUCCGAGCGUUAUCCGGAUUUAUUGGGUUUAAAGGGUGCGCAGGCGGCCAUUUAAGUCAGCGGUUAAAUCGUGGGGCUCAACCCCAUUCUGCCGUUGAUACUGGGUGGCUUGAUUGCGGUCGAGGUUGGCGGAAUUCGUUGUGUAGCGGUGAAAUGCAUAGAUAUGACGAAGAACACCGAUUGCGUAGGCAGCUGACCAGACCGCAAAUGACGCGCAUGCACGAAAGUGCGGGGAUCGAACAGGAUUAGAUACCCUGGUAGUCCGCACAGUAAACGAUGAAUACUUGUUUUCGGCGAUAUAAUGUCGGAGGCAAAGCGAAAGCGAUAAGUAUUCCACCUGGGGAGUACGCCGGCAACGGGGAAACUCAAAGGAAUUGACGGGG
rnacentral:rRNA from 1 species